AACGAACGCUGGCGGCAUGCCUAACACAUGCAAGUCGAACGAGUGCCUUCGGGUGCUAGUGGCGCACGGGUGCGUAACGCGUGGGAAUCUGCCCUCAGGUUCGGAAUAACCAUUGGAAACGAUGGCUAAUACCGGAUGAUGACGAAAGUCCAAAGAUUUAUCGCCUGAGGAUGAGCCCGCGUAGGAUUAGCUAGUUGGUGUGGUAAAGGCGCACCAAGGCGACGAUCCUUAGCUGGUCUGAGAGGAUGAUCAGCCACACUGGGACUGAGACACGGCCCAGACUCCUACGGGAGGCAGCAGUGGGGAAUAUUGGACAAUGGGCGCAAGCCUGAUCCAGCAAUGCCGCGUGAGUGAUGAAGGCCUUAGGGUUGUAAAGCUCUUUUACCCGUGAUGAUAAUGACAGUAGCGGGAGAAUAAGCUCCGGCUAACUCCGUGCCAGCAGCCGCCGUAACAC
rnacentral:rRNA from 1 species